GGUUGGUGCCGCUUACUUUAGCUUCAAUGAGUGCAUCAGAUGAUCAAAAGGAGAUAUUGGAAUAUCUCUACCCUGUAACUAGAGACUAUGUAUCCCAGGUUACUGGGGACGCCGGUCCAAGUCCAUUUGCCAAUAGUAUGGGUGCGUGUCUAGUUAUCGCGCUAAUUGAAGCAGAUUCCUAUGGUACUGCAUUAUCUAUUUGCCGGCAGUUUCCAUAUUUGGUUAAACAAAUGGUUGCGGUAGCCGAAGGCGAGUAUUCCCUAUUACAAAAGAUUGUAGAGAGGCCGUUUUCAUUUCUCAGCGGUGCUAAUCUAACAUGGUGGGAACGCAGCAUCUACUCAUUGAUUGAAGUGAACAUGGAUCGUCCAAUGGACUAUGACAUCACGAUAGACAAAGAUAAGCUUUCGCCUGGAAGCUCCAAAGGCACCAAAAAAGAUGAAGAGAACCCUCCAGAGACCUCUAAAGGCUCCGCAACUAGUGAGGGCAUCUCGACUGAUUAUAAGGGAAAUAUAACCGGUUACAUUUCAGUCUAUCUCAGGCGCUACUUAAUGCUAGUGCCUCAUGUCAAACAGUUAUAUAACAAAAAGUUGAUGCACCAACAAGCCGUUGCUUUGGUUAAAAAUGGAUUAACUUCUCUUUAUGAAUCAAAGACCAACUUACAACUGGAAAACUAUUUCAGUAAUUCGAGCAUCAUGAGUACAGCCAUAAAAUACGGAUCCACGGAAUUUGUAUUGGAGUGUCUUGGGACAUUUAGAUUCCUAAUUUAUCAUCCAGACCUGAGUUUAAAAAUAAGUAAAAUGGUUAUUGAAGAGCGGAAUGUGAAGAUGUUUAACUACAUUUGUGAAGAAAACGAAAAAUUGAAAAGGGAUAGACUUUCUUUUUUGGACGAAAAUAAAAACACUAUCUUACACUACGCUGCCACAUUAGCCAGUACUCGUCAACUCAACUCCAUACCCGGUGCAGCAUUUCAAGUGCAGAAACAAAUGCAGUGGUUUAAGGGGGUUGAAAGCAUUGUGUUACGGAAGGAUAGGUUUGUAAGAAAUGGCGAUGGGCAUACAGCCCGAUUUUAUUCACAGAGAACCACAAGGAAUUAAUGGGAAAAGGGGAGACAUGGAUGAAGGAUACAUCCGGAUCAUGUAUGUUAGUAGGUGCUCUCAUAGCAACUGUAGCAUUUGCAGCUGCUCUUACUGUCCCCGGUGGUAACUAUACACGUCUCGAUAUUCAGAAGAGGACUUUCUGAAAUCAUUACCGCAAAAAAUGAUUAUAGGGCUUGCAACUCUCUUCCUUUCGAUGGCCACCAUAUUAGUUUCUUU